AACGCACCUUGCGCUCCUUGGUAUUCCGAGGAGCAUGCCUGUUUGAGUGUCAUGAAAUUCUCAACCCUUCUAGUUUUCAUUAGCUAGUCUGGCUUGGAUUAUGGGGGUUGCUGGCUUCUAAGAAGUCGGCUCUCCUUAAAUGCAUUAGCAAAAUCUUUGCUGACCAUCCCUUGGUGUGAUAAUUAUCUACGCCAUUGAGAAUCAGCUUUUAUAGAUUUAGCUUCUAAUAGUCCUUUCUAGGGACAACUUAUGAAAAUUUGACCUCAAAUCAGGUAGGACUACCCGCUGAACUUAA
rnacentral:misc_RNA from 2 species